CACGCUGCAGCCGCAGGAGGAAGGUUCGGGAAAACUUGCUAGCUAUGCGGGUGGGAAGGCGGCUGAGGUUGCGCGUCGGUAGCUGGGCUCUUGGAGGUGAGACUCAUCGCAGUCAUAGUUCUUCCUCUCCUGCGUGCUGGGAUCCUUCGCUUCGUGGGUACCGAGCGCGGCGCCGCCUUGCUGCGGCCCAGCCGAGCAGCCGGCGCCGCAGGGUUGGUCCAGGAGGCGACGCUCCCCGCGCGGUCACGGGCCACGAGUUAACCCUCCGGCCACCUGAGCGGACGCGUUUGUGAGCAAUCACCUGGAAGUCUUUGCACAGCUUACUCCGUAAGCGCUGAUUGUGAGCCCGGAAGUUAGUAUAAAGGGCCUUCCGUGACUCCGGGGAAGCCGAGGUGCCUGGAAGAAACGGCCAGGGAGAUGGGAGUUAGCGGACGUACAUCAGUCAACUGCGGGGAGACCGGAAACACAUGCUGCCAAUUCAAAAAUAUUUUAAAAUGGUCUGACAAAUCCUCUUGAGUUUUGAAGGUGUGUGAAGGUCAUAGUGACAGAUGUUUUAAAAAAACUUAACAAAAUGGUAAUGAAAAAGUAGAACCACCACCGGAUAUAUUGAGCACAUAGGUAGCUGCAGAUGCCUGUCCUUUAGCUGCAGUUUUUUGAAAUACUCCUUUGUUACCUCAGAGGUGUGCCAUGCAACAUAUGGAAGAAAGAAUGAAGACUGUUCAAGGAAACAGAUGAACAGAAGCAAAUGAUGAAAAUAAAUAUUUUACUUGGUUUUGCUAACUUCAUAAUAAAUGAUGUAGAAAAUAAA